CGCGGGGCCGCCCCCGCCCCGCCCGCUCGGCGCGGCCGCCCCGCCGGCAGCAGGCGGCCGGGAGCCGCGGGGAGGCGGGCGUGGGGGAGGCGCUGCUGCCGCCGGGCGCUCUCCAUCCGCCCCGCACCGACGUCGGCGCGAAGCCCUCCCGGCGCCCGGGGUGAGGGAGGGAGAGCGCGUCGCGGGCGAGAGGAGGCGGAUGCUCUCAGAGGUACGGCUCCGCCGGAGGGGCUCGGCUCUGGGCUGAGCCACAGCGGGACGCGGAGUGCCGGGGUGUCCGAGCAGCGAGGGCCGUCCGGGAGCCGGCAGCCGCGGAGCGAGCAGAGAGCGCCGGGAGCGCGGCCGCAGUAAGUCCCGGCAACUUCGCCGCUCCGAGCGGGCGAGGGGACGGGAGAGGGUCGGGAAGCGAGCCGGGUAGGGAAAGUAAGGCGAACAAUGAAAAGGGAGCCGGCUGCGUGGGUCCGAGCGUGGCCGGGGGCUGCCGGCGUGGCGGCUGGGGGACACCUGAGCCCGCACCAGCGCUCCCCGCUCUGCCCGCCGCUGUUUCCGCGCUCCCUCCGUCCCGCCGGGCUCCCGCUGCGGUGAUAACGGUGUGAAAGCGGCACUGGUCCGUCUCGGAGCGGUGCCGCUGGUGACGGUAGGUUGAUGUAUGAGGCUAUUUACUCGGUGUGUCCAAGCACAAUAUAAACGCCUGCCAAUUUUGUCUUCAAAUUGCUGUAUUGAUUUCAUUCUUGCGGGCUUCUUGACAAGGUUAAGGUAGUUGACAGUUUGUAAGGAAAAGAGAAAAACUUCUGGUUUGUUCUGGUUACUGAAUGUCAUUUGUAGCUGAAAUGCUGCACGAAAAAAUCAUUCAUAAAAAGAGCAAAUAGGAAGAUGCGAUCCCCAGACCUCCAAUAGGAAUAUGUGAUCCUCGGACCUCCUGCACUCAGUAUCAUCAGUACCUAACAGAUGCCCUCCUGCCACGCUGCUGUGCCCACCUGAACUUCAGGGUAACACGGUAUUCUCCCUGAGACUGUGUGCUUCCCUGUUACAGUAGUUACGUCGUUGAGAAUGAAUGAAGUCAGCCAUUGCAUUACUGCACGCUUUGUCUUUCCAUCGGCUCAGAUUCAAACUGAGCUCCUGCUCCUUUCCCCCGGUGCCGGCAGGGCAGUGUUUGGCAGGAGGCCCCAUGCCUGCCCCCAGAAGGGUCCUGGCACCGCUUCUCGGCUCUCAGCAGCUGAGGUUGAUGAGGGAAUUUAAUUCACCACUCAUUCAGUAAUUGUGAAUUAGGGAAAUUAAAUACAGGAGAGCAAGUGUUUCCUCUGAACGUUUCCAGACAUCUGUCAGCCUUUGCCAUUAGGUAACCUUUGCUAAGUUGCCUCUGUGGUAACUUGCAUAUAGUGGCUGACAUGAGAUUGUGCUGGAUGAGCUACAACCUACCUGACAGUGCUACUGUAUGCCAACUGUGUAAAUCUUGGGUAAGUCAUGUUGCCGUUCAGACCCACUCCGAGAGUAGGUUUCACCAUAGGUCUUUGUUAUCACUUGAAGACUUAGUGUCAGCCAACUUUGGUUAGAAAUUCAAGUGGCAAGCAGUGAUAUCUCUAACUCUCCACAGCAGUGUUUUGAAAUCAUGGGUGAUGGGCACGGAGAUCUUAACGUUUAAAAAUGGCUAUAUAUAACAAGCUGUUUUGUACAUUCAUGAGAAACAGGCCAUUCAGACCUGCCUUACAUUCAUAUUUUCAUGGGCAUUUUCAUCAGAAUGGCUUAUAAGCAUGUCAGACUGCUGCUUGCACAUGUACUGUGUUAUAACACAGGUAUUCAGACAGGAUGGGGGCAUAGCAAAUUAUGUUGCUUAUGGCAAAGGCAUUUACAAAUGAACAACUAAUAUUUGAUUUACUAUAGAAUUAUUGGCUAAUAAUAGUGUUCUGUGGUAUGGUCUAGUUCUCUAUAGCUCAUGAGCUUUAAGGGGAGGUGAAGGAACAGAAGCAUCCUUUCUAAAAGCCUUGCUGAAAUACUACUGCAUAAAAUAUGUGCAAGAAUUAGCUUAUUAAGCUCACCAAAUCCAGUUUAGCAAACUUUUUUCUUUCACAUCUACAGUAGAAGGCUUUUGAAAACCUUUUGAAAAAGUUGAGAAUUUUCAUUAAAGAUGAAAACAGUGUUCUGUAGAAUGUUUUGCUUAAGUGUUUCCCUUCCAACCUGCCUCCCAUAGCAAAGUAGAAUGGGACGCUGCUGAAAGUUGGCCAGUUAGUACUGAAUGUUAAUUAAAAGCUGUUAUCUAUAGUCCGUUAAGAAGCUAAACAAGCACUUGUUUGUAUGCAAGUCCUGUCAUUUUAAUGAUAUGGUCAUGACCAAAAUAGCUGCCAAUAAUUUCCAUCAAUUUUGUGUAAGCAAAAAUGGAAGAAGGAAAAGCAUAUCAUGACUUAGAGUUCCUAAAAAGUCAUCGCCCAGAAGAAAGUCUCUUCUAUGUUUACUUUUAAAAUGAUGCAUACAAAUACAGUUUUUGGAAAAAAAUGAGCAACAAAAUAAUUGAGCUACGCUUGCCUGGAAGCUGUGAUAGCAAGUGCCAUGAGAUUCGGUUUUGCAAAUGCUCAUCAGUUCUACAUAUUAUUAAGCUCAUUUUUUUGUUUAUUUUUUCUGACAAUUGAUGUUCAGGUCCUAAUUGCUGCCAUUGGAGCUAAUAUUAAAUCUCCUAUUAAUGCUCACAUGGGUCGCACAUGGGCCUUCCAGGAGCCCUCUUAGUACAUGGUUAGCGCUUCCAAUCCCUGCUGCUUAUGUGAGCGGGGCAUCCAGGCAGAGAAAAAUUCACUCCCUUCAGAAAAUUGCAGUGGAGGUAGCAGAGCCAGAGACACCUUGCUGAAGGCCCUGCUGUAGGUCUAGAGUAUCAGUACUCGGUGCUUAACAAGCAGCCUUAAUGGGAUUGAGCAUUAAUUGAUGCUUUUGAGGAAGGUACCCUCAAAUGAGUGGCCAGUGCCUUAAGGGUAGGUGUUAUUUCCCGCUGAUCUUGUUUACUUCAGUCUUAAGCUCAAUGUUCACUAGCAAUAGCCCGCCAACAAACAGCACAAAAAUUACAUAUCGUUUGUUCUGUGCCGCUUUUUGAUCACGCUCCCACUUCCCAUUGGACGCUGCUUUCAGUCACUUCACUUUGUAGGGUGUGGGUCCGACUUCCAGCGACACUUGUGCUCUGACUUUGUGCUCUGACACGAGCAGAGGUUCCAGGAACAAGUGGCUGAGUCCUGAGAAGCAGAGCACUGGUGGCUGUGGGGCAGCGCUGCUUCACGAGAGCCCUGUGAUCUCUGUGUGGGGCUGUUUUGUCCAGAGAACACUUGCUGCAAUACAGAUGCUGCGAGGAGUAGUUCUGAUGCAGGGAAAGCCUCCCUAGAAAUCUCCUUAUAGGGUAGCUCUCGUUCAUCUGAAUCCGGAGAAGCAGCUGUGAAAGAUGACAUGGCUAAAUAGCAGUGUUAAUUUUAAAAAAAGAAGCUUGAAGAUCAAUAGCAGGUAUACUAUAGAUGUUUUGUGCUGAAGCUUUUUGUUGUUGUUACUGUUGCAGCUCCAGUCAUGGUUUUUGAUGGUAGAGUUUGGCAGGUGGGAAGGAUGGAGAGCCCGUGCACAAGGCUGCUUAAAGUUGCCCUUCAUCUUGGGUAAAAUUUGUACUGGACUACCUGUGAACAGCAGAGAUUCUGAUUUCUUGUGCAGGGGUAGUUGAUGCAGUGUGCUGAGAGCAGCGAGACUGGCCAUACCUCAGUUCAUUGACAGCACUAGUAACAAUGCUGGGCUUGGUUUGAUGCAGGCUUUUGCCUCAGUGAGCCCCUGAGCCGCUCCCUGUGUUUGGGGUGAUGCCUGGCUAAGGACUGGGUCACCAGGGUGGAAGGGACUUGUGAUUCUCUGAUGGAGACCUCCAUUUGACUGUCUCUGCUGACACUUAUGGAUGCAAUUCAACCAAGGAAGUGCGAGAAGUUUUGGGAUUCAGCCUUAAGGUGAAAGUGAAGUCAUUUAACAGGGGUGAUACGAAAUAGCACUGUAGACAUAAAGCACAAGAGCAACACAGCCAUAGAUUUCUCCCUGGUUCCCCAAAUGCUUGCAGGAUGAGGAUCAUCCUGUAGAGAGCACUAGUUUUUAGCAAGCUGCAUGCUUCAGUGCUGUAGUCCUGCAAGGCGAGUCCUGAAAGGAGGAGCAGCUGAACGUGAGCACCACGGCCCUGGGAGCCUACAGGGAGCAGCUCAAUGGGUCCAGGAAGAGACAGAAAGAUGAUAUUGCACUGCUGUUCAUACCUGUACAGUACAAAAGACCUCUGUGAAAAAUAAAAUUCAUGCAAAUGUCCACUGUAGUUUGGCAUGAUUGCACUGCACCUGGUUUUUAACAGUAGUUGUAUGUUGUUCAGUUGUUCAGUAAAGGUUGAAGCAAACAGAAGCUUACUUUAAAAUAAGCUUCUGGACUGUGGCUUUUUGAUCAUUUAUGUAUUUUGGUUAUACUUGUUAAAACACCUGGCACAGAUUUGGCAGAAUUGACAUUUUACACCACACUUUCAGUAGCAUUUGUGGAAAUAAUGCAUCCAUUUUGGCUUCACUUGUCAUGGUCUCACAUUGCACUGUUUGGCAAAUCAUUUCCUGCAUGGUCGUAUCCAGCAGUGCAUACAGGAGCCAUAUCACUCUGUCCAUGGCUCUUUAUGAAUGUUGUUUACUGUUACCAGAAGUCAGAUGAAUAAUACAUUUGAUAAGUUUUGCAAUAUGUUUGAAUCCACAGUUUCACUAGGUUUUAUUUAUAGUAGCUCUAGCAGUACGAAAAAGAUAUGACGUAUGCUUGUUGGCAGCUUUGACAUGCUAACUUUAGUUUGUGAGGUCUUCAUUAGCUUGGACAGAAUCACAAGUUAGAAAAUUGCUGUUACUCAAAAGCCUGUGUUUGAAAUGCCUUUCUCCUCCUGAAUUGCUUCUAAGUGCUGAGCUGCCCCUUCACAAUUGGAAAAACAGAUUUUUAUUCACUUGUUUUGUCCUAGAAAUUGGACACUUCUGCAGGCAAUGCCAAGUGAGUUCACAGAUGUAUUUAGAGGUUGCUUGAGUCAAGAUGAGUUGUCUUGUCAUUAGAGUUGUCGUCUCACAACUAAGCUGACAAUAAAAACACACCUUUGUUAAAUAAUAUGAAAUGCUUCUGAAAAUACAGUGCUGCUUGUUACAAAGAUGUCAAGGCUCUACCAUUAAGAAUGUGCUGACAUCUAUUUGCAAGAGGAAAAGAAACUGAAUUUCUAUUUUAAUUUUUUUAUUAGUGGCUGGAGUGAGACUCCACAUUUGGCAGUAUCUCUUCAAAGGCCACCUGAACUUUCUUUAUGUGUAUUUUUAUGGAGAAAUAUUUCCUCAGUUUUUGGUGCUUGCAUAACAAGAAGUGCUAUAAUCCAUAGCACUGCUUAGAGCUCGACAGAAAAAAUGAGAAAGGUAAUGAAAGACUGGCUAACUUCAUGGGGUGAAUUAGCCACAUGCUCCAGUAUGAGAUAUCUGCUAUGAGGCAGCAUUUCAGCUGAGAUGUAUGCAGGUGGAAGACUCCAUUUCUGUUGGUUUCUCUCCAGCUGGUAUCAAUAACGAGUGUUAACUGCUUAGACAAAUCACAGAUAUUUCUGCAGUUAUAUUUGGUUGCUCUUGUUUGUAUCCAAAUCCUCUGUGCAGGACUGGAGCAGCUAUCUAUAUCAAAUCAUGCUUCCUUGAUUUAAGUGAUUUGUGAAGAUAGAAUGUGACUCCCCAAAGGGAUUUUCCAUUUGAAGUUUGCUUCUGUUAUGAAGCAGUAGUAAAUGUGUAUCCAUCUUUGCUGUCUUCAGUACAGAACCUGUUUGGGUCUCACUUUCUGUUGCACAAACCAGAUUCUUCUGGCUUAGUUACCUGUGGCUGAGUAGCUGCUCCCUCACUAGGUUCUUCUCAUACGUUGCUCUCUCUUUUCAUUACUGCAAGCUGGUGGUAUAAUUUACCAUGUAUCACCUAGCAAGAUGAUAGCAUCUGCAUUUGUGAGUGUAGUUCCUCACAGAAGAAUAAAUGUCAUCCCGUACAGUUACAGAAGUUGAUAUGUUAAGGACUGUCAUAUCUGCUCUGUAGGAAUACAAUGAACAAAAGAUGCUUGAUGCUCUUCAGGUUGUCAUGAGAGUCCUCCAAACUGCUCUUAGAGCCUGAAAUACCCUGUGAAUGUGAGAAUUCCUAACUCUUAAACAAGUUGAAUGCAAUCUCUUACAAACAGAAAUACUCAAGGACAAGAGAGAGAAUGCUUAGAUGUUCACUACUUUGCCUGACUACUUAGAAACUCCUUUCUUUUUAUUUUUAAUUUGGCUUUGGUACUGACAAAGCUACCAACCAUUGCUGACUUUUGUCACGCAACUAAAAGUAAGAACUCUUGUUCUCAUUUUCUUUUGUCUCCAAUCUCUACUCUCCAAACAGUACUAAGGUGUAAGUGUAAGGGAAGGUUUCACUACUGCACUCUUCAGCUGUGCUGCUGGGGUGGAAACACUCUGGAGAUGGAAGGGCAUGGGAUACAGAAAGAAGCAAGUGAAGUAGAUUAGAAAAAAAUAGGUGAAAUACUGAAAAAAAAAAAAAGAAUUGAAUCAACAGAAAAUGUAAGGAAGGAAGGGUUUUACAGAAAAGGGGGAACACUCAGAAGAAAGUGAUGCUUUAAAUGAUGUGUGCAUCUGUGCAUUUAGUGGUAGAGCUGGUUUUCUGGAAAUUGAAAUUACAAAAUAUCUAAUAAGCUAAUAAUGUCACUGUCUUCCAUUUACAUAUGCUGGAAUGGGAAUUUUAAUCCGUGCUCCAGUUCCUCAUUUUACAUGCACAUUGUAUUGAUAACAACAGAUCACUGAUACUGGUUUAACCACUUAAACAACUGUUGGAGUGAACUACCCAAUCUGAAAUGUUUACACUGUAACUCUUCCAGGAAUUGUAUUUCUAGCAAAGGAAAAUGGCAAACAGAAUUAGUGUAAGGCUGACUCAAGGGGCAGUUUAAGUCUGACCAAUACAGAGCAUCUCUGGUAAAUCCUGUGGCUUUGUGUCAGGCUGUUUAAGAACAUUUGUUGAGAAAUAGAGUAGCCCGCAGGUAGCUGAUCAUAUGCUCCUGGCUGUGCGGAGAUUGGCUGCUUGGAGCUUAGAAUCUCUCUUAAGUCCUGGUCUUGAGGAAAGCUCAGCGAUGGAGAGCAAAUGGGUGCGAGUAGACUUCCUUUAGUGUCCUGAGUGCCACUUCCCUCAUUACUGGCUGCUCAAGGGCUUGGCUCGUUUCAGCCCUUAAGUUCUUUGUGUUACAAAAGGAUAUUUUCCUCUGUGUUUGGAUGCUGCCAAGUAUAUUUUGAGUUGAAACAGCAUCAAGUAAUAAUCAUUGUUAAUAUAUGCUUUUACAGAUAAAACAGCCCCAGUACUUUCUACUGUGCUGGUUUUUAUCAUAUUUACAGUUUCUGUCAUGUGAAGUUGUUUGAUGGUAUGUGCUUCCUAAAGACUGGAAUCAGUUCAGCACCGGAAAGAGAACAUGUAUGUUUGGUUUUAUAAGUAUUUCAACUCUUGCUCACUUCUUUGACAGUCAGAUCUGCAGAGUGCUGAAUGGAAUGUGUUCAUCCCAUGAAAUGCCUCAUGUCAUUGGAGGUCAUCACUGGAAAACUUGUAGGUUGUCCCUAUAUAACUGUAUCUCCUCUGCCUCACUGUGCUUCACAUAGCCCCAUUCUCUUUUACCUAGCAUCCAAAAUAAUUUGCUUUAUGAGAACUAUAUCCAAACUAAAAACUUAAGACGUGCCCACUCCCGCAUUUGUCACUGCUGUACCUCUUUGUCUGUACAGAUGUAGUAAUUACACAAAUCUCAGCAUUUUAUACUAAUCCAUGGUGAAAUAUGUUGAUGUCUGCCUUUUAUGAAGAAGCAAAAACCAGGGUUUAAUGACCUGUGGAGUGUGAGAAAUUAGUACAUUUAAGCCAGAAGAAGUUCUGUAUGCACUGUACACAGAAAGGAUCCUGUUGGAACCCCGACUGCUUGCUGAAGGUAUCUUCUUACCCUCACAAAAUAUUGGGACUGUGUUUUAUUAGUAUCAAAGCCUAUCAUUUCUCCUCUUAACAUAAAUAAGUGGCAGCAUGUUGUCAGUAUCUUUUUUUAUUGUAAAGCCAGUAAUAAAAAAUGUUGCUGCUGUAUCAGAUCAAAUAAUAUUGUUGAUACAAGAUCUAUUGAAGUGACAAAUAGUAGUAUUUAUCUCAUGUAAUUCCACACAGAUAAAUCAUCCGGGUGUAAUAUUUAAAGUUAGUUAUGCCAAUUACUGUGCAGUGGGCAUUAAGAGUUCUGUCCCUUUCAUGAAAUAUUUUCACUAAGCAGUGUUAAAACACUGAUGCAUGUUCUUAAGACAAUGAUAUUUGUUCUGUACGUGAUUAUUAUGCCCAGCUUUAGAUGGUAGGGUGCAGUUAGGAGCUAUCUGAAAACACAGUUAAUGUAAGCAACUCCAUUUAGUUUAUCACAUUCAGUGUGUAAUCAGAACUCACUGAGUCUGAGCUAGUCUUUCUGGGAAUAAUCUAAACCAAGUUCAUGGACAGAAUCUGGAGAAGCUUCUAUGUUCCUCCUGCAGAGAAGGAGAAGUGUACUUCUUCUGAACCUUCAGAAUGUUUCAUUCAGUGCUCAAGUAUAAUUAAUUUUUAUUUUAUUUUUUUGCUGAACCUCAGUCAAAGAAUGAGAGAGAUUCUGUUUCUCAUAUUCAUUUAUGACAUAAGGGAAAACUUUACUGAAGCAAACUGAAGAAAUGUGGAUGGACAGCUGAGUGAUUUGAAGUAUACUGUUUCAAAGAGAGAAGUUCUGCAUUCAAAAAAACUGUAGGAAGGUCAAGUUAAUGGAGGACACUCAAGUGUCCUUCAGAAUCACAAAUGGCUGGAGUGUAAGAGAUGCAGAGCAGAUGAGAGGACACCUCAGUAACUGAUUACUCAUGGAUGACAAAAUGUGGGAAAUCAACUACUGCUCAUAUGCACAGUUCCAGAGAGAAGCAUCAACCACAUUAGAAGAGAAACAUACUAUAGAGGAACAGACCCAGCAAAUUGCCAGUGCACAUGGAAGUAUCAUGCAAGCAAAAAUGAAAACCAGGUGUUUGAGGAGGUGAAUGUUAAAUACUGCAGAGUGAAGUGAGGAGAACGAAGCCUUCAAAGCAUGCAGCUGAAGAAUGUCUCUGAGGAAAGCAGCCAUCAGCAACAUUGCUGUAAAAAGAGACUAAUAGCGGUGAGAUAUGCAACUUUUUAAGUAAAAUCAGAAGAAAUAGCCAUUAAAAAAUAUCAAUAUUGGGGUACAGGUUUGGGAACUGACUACAGAAGAAGCUGAACUUGGGGAACAAAACAUAGCAAGACUAGCAGGACACAAGAACAUCUAUGUAGAUAAAAGUCCAAGAGGAAGGAUCUAUGCACUCUAUUGUAGAUACUUCUGCAGAAUUAAUGUUUGGAUGUAAAGCCUGGCUAUUUGUUACAUUUAAUAAAGACAUUAAAGACAGUGAAAACUGGAAAACGAUUUUGCCUAGCAGGCCCAUAGGUUACUAAGUGUUUGAAGACUGAGUAUGUCAAUUGACUGCUGCAAAAUGUAUCUAUAAGGCAGUACCAGAAGUUCAUACUACAUAGUGAUAACGGUUAUCUCUACUUUGAGCCCCUUGGCAAUUAAGACAUUAAUUAGAAAAAUGAAGAAAACAUGGCAAAAGGUGUACUUGAUGAUGAGAACAGAAAAGGAAAAUGAUAGGGUAUUCCAUGUGUGCAUACUUAUAAAGGUCUUUAAGGCAAUGAAUCAGGAACAAAUCAACACAAGAACAAUCGUGAAAUGAUACAGGAACAAAACAACCCACUCAUCCUAGAUGGCAUCACUUCCAAGCCCUCUCUAACAAGCGUUUUCAUUAUGCUAGAUGCACGAUUUGAUAGGGGAAGGUCAGAUAGGACAAGGAGGACAACUAAUUAAUGCCUUCCAAUGCUCUAUCCAGAGGGCAGCGUUUCAAAAAUGCCUGCUGACAUAUCAUCUUCACAAGAUACAUUAAAGAAGAGGAGCCUUGAAAUAGUAGAAUAUCCUAAUCUCUUGCCAGAGCAAAUGCCACUAAAACUGAUGGUGUUAAUGACAUAAUGCUGGGUGUAUUUCUAAAUCACAGACAGAUCCAAAUCACUAGAGAGCAGAUGGAUGAGAAUAGCUAAGCAUUGGAACAGAUUGCCCUGGGAGGCUGUGGAAUUUCCAUCCCUGGAGAGUUUUGAAACCAGCCUGGAUAUAGUCCUGAAUAAACCGCUCUGACUGAAGUUAUCCCUGCCUUGAGCAGGGGGCUCUAGGCUAUCUCCAGAGCUCCAUUCCAGCCUGGUUUUUGUUGUUUUGUUUUUUGUUCACUUUUUUUUUUCUGUGACUCAAGGAGAUCGGGAAGAUGCUUUGGUCUGGAAAGAAGGCAUCUAGGAAUAUCCAAAGAAAAAGGAAAGGGAAAAGGGCUGAAUGCACUCAUUCUCCAGAGGAAGGGUAGCAUGGUCUCUGCUAAGCAGAAAUGGUGGGAUCUUUGUAAGAACUUGAAGGGGGAAGAUAUUAUAUUUUAUGGGCCAAUAAUGAACCAGGAUUUUUUUAAAAAAAUAUGAGCACAGUUUACCUUGAAGUGAAAUGUUGCAUGGGUGGGUACCUCUAUAGAAAGCACUGUUUGAGCUGUGGACAUAGAGGUGUACACACCUGCAUUUAUAAUGCUGCAACAUUACGAUGUUAGCCAUUUUUAAACAUUUCUCCUUCCAUGUCGGAGGUCUUAUUUACUUACUUAUUUUCUCUUAUUUACAUCCUUCGUACAUAUGAUGUGCUGAGCUACUAAGAGCAGGGAGUGAGUUUUAGAAUUUUAUUUAUUUAUUUAUUUAUUAUUUUUGUAAAGGCAAAAAGUGUCAAGCCCCCCAAAAUAAACAAACAGGGUCCUCCACUGUGUGAUCGAGGUAAUACUUUCUCACCUAUCAGCAGCAGCUGUUUGCAGGUGAGCUUGUUGUCAGUGAAGCAUUUAUACUUCAGUACUGAGCACUAAAGACAAGAACACGGAAAGAAAUUAAUAAAUCUGUCUACUUUGUGAGGUUUGAUGUAUGUACAGCAAAUAACAUACAAUAGAUAGCAAUGAGAAAAUAUAGAGUCACUUCUUGAUCAGUGGGCACUGUUGGUCCUUAGCACCACAGUGAAGAAAAAUUCCAGUGGAAGAGGAAACGUAAGGACAAAUAAAAGUUGCAGUUCUAAAUUUCAGGAUAAGUUAAGGUUCCCCAACCCAUCUCUAACUUCAGAGUUAGCUUUAAAAUGUGGAGAAUCUUCAGUUAUGUAAUGUCAUUACAUGCAUUUAGUUAUAUUAAUGUAAUGCCAAGGGGCUCUAUGAAAUAAGGGCUUUGGUGAUUUACAAAGACGGGGAAGUUCAGUUUGUUUUUGUUUGUAGGAGAUCUUUUAACAUCACUGAACACAGAGUUUCUGCAAAAGUAAGAUCAAAGAUGGGAAGUAAAAACAAUACAGGAAUUUAAAAGCCUUAGGCUUCAUUUCAGCAAAUACAAAUUUUGAAAAAAAUGGAAGUGAUAGGAUACUAUUGAGAGCUCAUGUUAAAGUGGUCUUAAUGCUGCUGAACAGUUAAAGCUCAUCAGUCAGUAUGAAAGCCAGUCUGUUAGCUUUCAUGUUAAAUUCUAGUCUAUGAAGAACUCUUUUUCUCUGUGAAGCAUCAGCCUAGUGCCAGUGAUGCACCUCAAUUGUUCAUCAUCUGUGCUCUUUUAAGGCGUUUUUAUUAAGAGUCAGUUACACGUAGUGCAACAGAAAUGAGUAGUGCUCAUUUUUGCACAUGAGGUCCAUUUCCUCCACAAAACCUUCCAUCCACUGCCCCAGGCCUGUAGCAUUGCCUGGGGUUGUUGUGGCAAAAGUGCAGGACUCAGCACUUGAUCUUGUUGAACUCCAACACACUGACCUCAGCCCAGCCAGCACUCCAGCCUGUCCUGAACCCCCUGCAGGGACUUCCUACUCCCAAGCAGGUUGACAUUUCCUCCUGAUUUGGUGUCGCCUUACUGAGGGCGCACUUAAUCCCCUCACCCAGGUCAUCAAUAGAGAUAUUAAACAAGACAGGCCUCCAGUCCUCUGAGACCUCUUCAGUUGACCAGGACUACUGGGGUAGGUAGAAUUAGAGUUUUCUGCACCCAGGAGAUAACUUUAAAGCAUGGCUUACAAGCACAAUGCAAAAUUCCUUCCCUCUGAAAUAAGGUCCCCAUCUCGUUCACUUACAAAUCUUGUUUUCUAUCCUGCUUAGAGCCAAUCUACUUGGCUAGUAAUUAAAAAAACCAAAAUUUGCAUUUUUCUUUCCAUAAUGUCUGCCACCCUUGGGCAGAACUCUGUUUUUUUCAGUGACUGGGAAACAAUGAGUGCAUAAUGGGCAUUUCCAUAAACAAGUCAUAAUAACUUAAAUCACUGCCCAAAAUGUAUACUUGGAAAUCAAUGCGUAUGUUGACUGGAGUCAGACCAUCUGUCCUUUUAUGCCUGGAAGUAGAAUGGUAAAACACAAUCAAAAUGCAUGACACAAGAUUAAUCUCCUCAGCGCCUAAUGAGGAGAUAGGCUGGUGCGUGGUGCUGCCAGCACAGAGGCUGUGAGGUGACCUCAGAAGCUGAGCCAGGUGCCAGCAGCACUCUGCACUGCAUGGCUGGGCAGGCCUGUGGGGUGGGCAUGUGUCUGUGCCAGCUCUGAACUGGGUUGCUCUGGUGCCUCUUGGGGCUGGGAGCUGUGUUCCUACUGCUACACUGAACCCAAAAUACUGCAUCCUGCCUGGCACUGCUCUCGAACACGCGUGGGUUUGAUUCAUAUGGAUUCCUCUUUGUGCUGUCAGUGAAAUAAAGAGGAGUGAGGAGUGACCAUAAUGAAAAUGAUCAUGGCACCUGAUGUGAAGAAUUGCAGGCUGCUUAUGUGUUUGAGGUCCCUUUGCAUUAAUCUCGUAGAGAGACUAGAAAUGGUAAAUAUAAAUACAACCCGUGUUUGCUUCAAAGCCUUUUAUCUCUGCUAGAGAAGUAUAAUUGGUCCCAAGGGUAAAUGAGAAUGUGACCAAGAAGCAUGCUCUGCUCUGGAGGUUUGUAUUUAAUCAUGGAGACUUUAUAAACCUAUGCCAAUUUUGCACUUUUGUUGUUGUUGUUGUUUGUUUGCUAUUUUGCACUCCACAGUUGCAAGGGAUUUUAGGUAGGGCAUAGUAGUUUCCUGUCUGCCUAAAGAGCAAGGAUGGAACAAUGCCAGACACAGGUAUGGACUGGGGGAUGGGUGGCUGGGGAGCAGCACAGCAGAAGGGACCUGGGGGUGCUGGUGAGAGCAGCUCAGCAGGAGCCAGCAGUGUGCCUUGGUAUCUUGGGAUACAUUAAGAACAGCAUAGGCAGUUGGUCAAAUGAGGUGAUUCUCCUGCUGUAUUUAGCACUGGUGCACCUUCAUCUUUGAGUAUUGUGUGCAGUUCUGGGCUCCACAGCAUAAAAAGGGCUUCAAGAUCCUUGAAAGCAUCCAGAGAAGACACCAUAGCAGCUAACAAGGCUCGAAGGCAUGGCCUGUGAGCGGAGGCUGAGGGCACCUGGGUUGUCCUAGCUGGAGGAGAGGAGGUGAGAGGCGGCCUCAGUGCUUGUUGCAACUGCUUCAGACUGGACAUGAGGAAAAAUGCCACUGGAACAGGCUUCCUGGUGAGGUUGUUGAUGCCCCAGGCCUGUCAGUGCUCAAGAGGCAUUUGGACAGUGCCCUCAAUACAUGCUGUAACUGGUUACCCAUAAGAAGUCAGGCAGUUGGACUCAAUGAUCUUUGAAGGUCUCUUCCAACUGUUUUGUUCUAUUCUAUUCUAGCAGUAUUUUAAAUAAAAAGCAGAACCAGUAAUAGAAACAGAAAUGUAGUUGCAGAACAAAUAAAUAAGAGGGCUGAGACAGUCUCUCUCUCUCUCUCUCACACACACACACGCAAAAGGGAAAUAUAAACUCAGUGCAGAAGCUAUUUAAAUGUUUCAUUUUGACCACUUAACAAGGAAGGCCCGAAGCACAGUCUGAUUUUCCCCUAAAGUGUGAUAUUAAUCCCAUUGUGCUUGCUUGUGCAUGUCUCUGCAUGUCUGCGCAUGUGUUGCAUCCUUUAAUUGUUUGCGCUGGGAAGCCUUGACAUUGCUUAGUAGUGCCUCUUAGCCUAAAGCAGAGAAUGGGAAAAAUAAAAUAAAAUAAAAUAAAAAAAAGUGAUGUGCAGAUUGUUAGAAGCAUCCUUCUCAGUAGGAAUACAGGGACCAGGAGGGAAAGAGUUAAGGAAAGGAUAUGGAGGAUGAAUUCUGAUGGAACACGGCUAUUGCUGUGUUCUCGUAAAAGAGAAAAAAGAAUGAAUGCGUGAGCUAGCAGAAAAAGAAAACCACAGGCUUUUGGGAAGCCCUGAGCUUAAGGAGAUGAAUUUAUUUUUGCAAUUUUAAGGAAUUUUUCUGGAAAGCGGGCUUUUUCAGGGUCCUCAGAGCUGAUUUACCUCCCCAAUCUUUUACUGGUGGUGGAUGAGCUGCCCAGUAGGUGGCAUCCUUUUAACACGGUGCUAAUCUUCCUCUUUUUUUUUUUUUUUUUCGUUUUUUCUUAAUAGCAUUUUUUUUCUGCAGAAUGUAAAUUGAUUUUCACAGAAUCAGCGCGUGCAGAAGUUAUGUUAAUCGAAGGCUUUAAGUCAAACUCCCCAAAUUUGGAAUACCUAAGCUGCCAAAAAUCAGUAUUUGGGAAUCUGAAUAAGAGAGAGAGACAAUGUCGUAUGCCUCAGUGGUUUUAGGGCAAGGUUCUGAGGAAGUUUACAACAAGCUGCAUCUUCACAGCUCCUGCUGGAACCAUCCUUGUGGUUUCUGACUUAAGGACUCUGGUCUAAUUUAAAGACUCACUUUUGGAAUGUGAUGAUUAGGACAUCCUGUUCACAUUUGAGCAACAGGUGAUAGAGAUUGUGACAUCUUCCUCCUGCAUUUAAUUUACCUCUUUUACAUCUCGUUCACUUCUGAAAUGUCUCCUUUUUUUUUUCCUUCCUAUAAUGUUGAUGUUGAUAGCUGGGGAGGCAGAUGCUGUUGCAAAACCAUCUCUGCAUAUGUGUGUCUGCACACAGUUCUACACAGGAAUGAAAUCCCUGGAAAUGCACGUGCUUUAGGCUGCUAGCAUUGAGCACAGGACAUCAGUGUCAGGUACCAGCUGUCCCUUCAAUCAGCCAGUACUCCAUCUGAGACCACACAGCUGAUUCACAGACUGACUGCAGGUGGACAACGAAUUUGCUCAAAGUGUUGGGAAUGUGCAGUGAAUCAGAAUACUGAGCAGCCUGGGAUGCCUGGACGUGUGUUCUUUAUAUUGGACAGCCUCCUCCUGGUCACCUUCCCUAGGAAGGAAAAGUGUCAAAACCCUGCUCCACUUCAUAGUGACUGGAAAUAACCUUCUUUUAUUGAAGAGAAAAAUUAUUCUGCCUGUAUAUUUCACCCUGAAUUGUGUUGAGGAUUUUAUUUUAAAGGACGUAUGGCUUUUCCAAUAUUCUUUAUGGGUGCUUACUUGGUGUUGUGCUUCUCCCAUCUAAGAAAUCCAUCUCUGCGUCUUCUCCCAUCCUUGUCUAUUCAGCAUGAGACAGUCUCCUUCCAUGGAUACAAAACUCACCAACAGACAAAAGUACAAAACAAUGGUGGAUUACUGCUGGUGAGUAGAGAGUGAAAGAAUAUUUCCAUGGCUAGGAAAAUCUACAGCAAGAGUAUGGGGAAGCUUUUUCUGUUGGAAGUGCUGAGAAGCAGUACCGUGUUAAGUGAAUACACCUAAGGAUUAUAAGGAUAAUCUUCUAGCCAGGUGUGAACUGCAGCAGUCUUCCUGAGCCUGCAGAGCAUUGCUGUCCAGCUGCUACCAACCAUAGUUUUCUCAGGUUGUACCAAACUGAAAUUUAUGACAGCUUCAGAGCGUGAGUGGCCAUAUGUGAACCACGCUGACUUAGAAAACUUGUGUUACUGUUUGAAAGGUGCUUGAAAGAGCUGUAUGCCUGGGGUCAAAGGAAGGGACCCCAUAAACAAAGGCAGACUUCGAUAGACUGAGUGAAGUCCCUAAAAUAAGCAAGGUGCUGGAAGAAAGCAGCAGGGCAGAAUGCCUCCUUCGUGCCAGCCUGCAGCUGAGUUUCAGUGAUUGUGCUGAGGAGGGAGAGGCCAUAAUGCAGCACUGGGCACUGCUCUGGUGGCUGUCACAUCAAUAUUGUCACAGCAGACAGACACAUCUGCCUCGCCACUUGCUGACUGAUGCUGCUUUAAUGACUCAUCUGUGUUGGUGUUCAGGCAGUGGGAGUCUGCUAACAAGGGCUGCCUGCAGUCCUAACCCAAACUCUGCUGCGAUUGCUUAGCAGACCAGCAGGCUUGUCAGCAUGUCCAUCAUGGUUAGUGUGUAACGUAUUGUGCAGAGCUGAAAUCUCACACAUUUAGGCAGUCUGAAGCCUAGUUUGAAGAAAUAAAGAGUUUUUAAAGCACCUCAGUACAUUAGUAUGUGUUGAAUUCUAUAGGAAAGCUUUAUUCCUUUGCAUACAGCCUGUUUAAAUUACUGUUUCUCAGUGCUUUUCAAAGACCAAAGGAAAAUGCUGUUCUGUCCCAGAAGAUUUACCACUUGAGCCAAGAGAAGGAUGUAGUCUGUGUUGAUUGAAAUAGAGCUAGUUAGGAUGAUAGGCAGUAGUUAAUAGCAACCUAUUCAGCAGUCCUACAAGUUUAUUUGGAGUGCUUCUUUCUUGCCAGAUGUUUCAGAAAAUGUGAUAAAGUUUAAUUAUAUAGUUACAGAGUUAAUUAAGAAAUUAUAGCAACCACCAAGUGAAAUUAGGAACUGUAAUCAGGAGGGAAAAGGAUUUCAUAGAGCAGCUUUGAAAACAAGUGUGUGAACAAAGUGAAGAGAGGAGUAAAGUAGGCAGUAGGAGGAACUGAGUAGGCUUUUGACACUACAUAGGCACUAUGAAUAGAGCAGAUAUAGCAGAAAGCUACUGCUAGGUGCUAGCCAAUGUGACUGCGAAAGGAAUCCUGGUAUUAAAAGAGAAAAUACAAAAGAAAUCCAGAAGAUGGAUUGGAGCAAAUACAUGGAAAGUUUUGAAGUAAGAAGAGUAAUUUUGAAAAGGAUCCAGAAGUGAAUCAUGAGACAAUGAAGUUAAAGGAGGAUAAGGUAGAAUGGAUAUCGGUCUUUAUAAUGUGUCACAGCAAAAAAUCUGUCUAGACAGCUGAACUGUGGAGAGUGAGCCUUGAAAGGGUUGCAGCUGAAUUGUGGAGAGUAAGCCUUGAAAGGGAUUGCAGUAAAUAGCUGCACCAGAUAAAUUGACAGAAAAUGAGAGACCUGAGCACACAGUAGGGACUUUCUGACUGUAAUCCAGUAUUUAUUUUCUCUCUCUUUUUUUUUUUCCUGUUCUCUUCUGUGCUCGACUGUACUAUUGUUUUUAAAAUACAGCUGUAUUUGGUGAUCCCCUAUAUGGACUUGUGGCUGUCGGAUUACUGGAUUAGUAUUUUGUUACACAGUAGGUUACUGGUUUUGUUUCAAAUCUGCUUUUUUUUUUUUUUUUUUUUGGUAAAUGUUCCCCAAUAUGCCUCAUGCUUUAUAUCCCUGAAAAUAUGAAUUUUGUAAAAGAAUGCACAUGUAUGCAGGCGUAGCAGUAUCAGCUUCACAAUCUAUAUUUGCUCCUAUAUUUUGCUUUUAAAUUUAGAAACAUAAAGCACCUUUUAAUUGCUCUACCCUGUUACAGAAAAUGGUGUGGUCUUGACCUGCAAUUAGCAACCACUGAUAGUUCGGUUGUAAAGCAGAGCAUGGUUCAGAGAUGCAAAUAUUUACUUAAGCUAGUGCAUGUUUGUUUUCAUCGUAUGGAGCACUCUGGUCAUUUAAUAAUUAAAACUGUCUAGACUUAAUUAGGUAUGUAAUGGCCUCUGUUUUAGACACGCUGUAUCUGGUUCCUGCUUACAUAUCUGACUUCUUACUUGGUCAUGCCCUGAGGAUCUCAUGGUCCUCUAGCUGGAAUCAGCACUGCAACCAACUCAGAGUAGAUCAGGCACGUCCUUAAUAGCUCCUUAAGACUUCCAGAGUGUGUAAUUGUCAGCAGAAAUUAGUGAUUUAUUAUUGGUUUACUGAUCAGGAAUUACACAGUGUGUAAGUAAACUAAGAACUGAGCAGCUCAGAAUGCAGCCUCUCGUACUUUAUGCCGUGUUUGUCUAUUAAGUACAUUUUCAACACUUAUCUCUGCCUAGCAGAUUGGGAACAUGCAUGCAAAACACACUUAAAACUAUUUCACCACAAACAAGCGGAGAUAAUGAGCUAAUUUCUAUGGAAAUCUGUCCAAUAUUAUUAUUAUUGCCUGCCUACUAACUGAUUUAUAGAAAUAUUUGUCCAAAUUUAAUAGCUUCUCAUUUAUCAAAGAAGAUUGAAGAAGUAACAGCAUAAAAACACAUAGGAGGUAAUUGAUUCACAAAUAAAAUUCUCAUUCCAGAAUAUAAUUGAUCUGACCUUAAUUGAGAAGAAAAAUUGAUGAAAUCACUUCCAGUGGGUAGAAUGUAUAAGAGAUAUAUCAGCUGUAAGACCAGUCGUCACACUGCAGUAUUUCAUCAGUGUGAAACUGUUAAUCUUACUGAAGGUGAUCCCACUCACUUCUGAUGGAAUAUGCAAUUGAUAACAUAAUGCAAAAUCCUUUUGACUUAAAAAGGACAACUUACCUGAAAAACAAAACAAAAAACAGUAACAAAAAACAACAACAACGAAGGAAUGAAAGCAAAACCGAUUCUUAAUCUAUUCCUAUUUGAAUUUGACAUAACCUUUCAUUGUUUCUUGUGGCAAAGGCAUGCAUCAGAAAAUUUGUUUGGCACAUGUGAGUAGGAGUCAAGCUCCAGACACUCUGGGUGGUAGUCAUGAAACAACAAACAAAGGGGCUCGUGUAUACACUGCUGCAGUUUCCCUUUGGGCACUGUGCAGCCAAGUGUUUCUUUAACCUUUCUUACCAGCAGGAAUGCACCUGCCAGUAAUGAAAGCUGUGUUUCUGGUCAGAUCUGAGAAGCAAGUCUGAUGUGUCAGACAGUGAUUUUGUCAGAUUUCAUGGCUAUAAACCCAAUAAUGGGUUCAAACUUGUUGAAAUCACUCUGGAAAAUCUGCAGAGAAUACAAGAGUGUAGCAGGUGGGUCAUUAGAUAGUAGUCUUUGUCCAGAAUCAGUACUGAACCAGUACUGCAGGGGCUGUUGGUCAGUAAAUGCUGACAGAGGUCAAAAAUGAGAUUUUGAUCCUCUGACAGUGGUAAUUAAGGAUGCUAAGUUUUUCUGUUUAUUUUUGUAUGAGGUUAUUGAUGGUAACUCUCUUGUCUACGAAUAAUUCCCAGCAAGGAAACAUGCAAGAAAAACCUGCAAAAUGUUUCGUUUCUUCAGUGCCACCCUCUGAUCCAGUCAAACAUUAUCAGAAAACAUGUUAUAAAAACUGCAGAAUCCAUCUCCUGUAAUUACAUGGCACCUCUAUGUGUUCUUUCUUCAGGCAGUUCCAAUAAAAUGUGAACUGCACUCUUCUUUCUCUGCUGCCCUUGAUCCUGCCGUGUAACAUGAAAUAUUUCACGUACUUGAGUGCUCCCAGUUGAAGUAUAUGCAAAAACACUUGUAACAGCGGUCUGUAAAUUAUGGUGGGGUACUGCUCUGAAGUGUUAGAAGAUGUAUCUAGAAAACAGUUUAUUGAAAUUAAGGUGUUUUUUUUCUAUUUAAAGGUGUAGUGUGUAAAGUCCAUUAAAUCCCUUUGAAAUUCAAAGUUCCAUACAAACUGCUAUCUCAUACUAACAGCUGGGGAAGAAAUUUCUGCUACAUAACUGUCAUGGAGCUCACUAUUUUUUGUCAUGUGUUCAUAACAAAGUCCUAGUUUCAAUACAACAGAAUUAGAAUAACAAUUGUUUGUUUUUAUCAGAGCACAUUAAAGUGUUUAACCAAAGUGAAAUUGAUUGCGUUGAAUUGCAAAUUUCAGUUGAAAAUAAAUCUAGAUCACUAUAGAGAAGUCAACAUGCUCUUUAACUUCAUUGUACAAUAAUAUGAGUUUCAAAUAUGACUGCAUAUUCUGCUAAAAUGGGAUUAUAUUAUUAGCUCUGUGCAUUGAGAUUUAUAUUGUCUUUAGGUUGCUUCUUGAAACUUCUCUGGGUUAUACUGUCAUGGGUUUAGGCUAUGCGUGUCUGUCAAGGAGCAGACACAGUUACUAAUGCCAAUUCUUCCUUAAUCUCUAGUUUCAGGUUUGUUGCAUGGGAGCUACUUCAUGCAAAGUUCACCAAUGAACUUUACUGUAUUGCUAGUAUACAGAUAAACAAGUAUAAGGAGGCUGCGUGUUUCAUUUUAAUCUGACAGACUGUUCAGAGAUCUGCAAAACACCAUACUCUUCACCCUCCCAAGAUGCUGGCUCCUGUUCAGCUUUGCACUCACCAUGUGCCUUAGCCAACUGAGUAAUGGAGUCUGCUUGUAUGAUGGAAAGACAAAUCUCACUGAAGGUAUUUCUUGGGCCUCAAGUCGGUCUUUCUCCAGGGUAUGGAAAGGGAGUGCUGGCUGCCACCUGACUGACCUAUCUUGGAAGGAAAAUGAAUCAUUUCAAAAUAGUAAUGGACUAGAAUGACUUCUCUAUUGUGCUCAUUUGUAGCAGCCAGCAAGUAGUUUAAAACCUACAGUAUUAAUAAAAAUGAUCUGUGGAAAAACAUGGAGAGUAAAUGUCAACAUUUUUAGGGUUUGGAGCUGAAGAAGUUGUCACUUCCAAACUGUUAUUAGUAUGAAAACUUUUCUGAAUAAUAGUAACAUGAAAAGAACAGAAACAAUCCUUCCUACCCAGUUCUUUGAAGAUGCUUUGGCUAUUGUGCCUCUCAGUUUGGCAUCAGGCAUCAUCUAAAAAUACAUUCUACGAACGGUGUAGCUAGCUUGACUCAGGAGAUUUUUGGAUGUUGUAUACUUUUAUAGGGCAUUAUAAAAGUCAUUACAUGAACUUACAACUGUUUUUGUGUUUGCUAAAUUAGUUGGGACUUACAGCCCACUCUGUGAGACUGUAGGAGGUGAUAUACGAAAGUGGCAUUUUUUUCAAAAAUCCAAAGCCAUACCAGAGUGACAGAAUCAGCAAACAUCUCCAAGUCGGAAGGGUCCCACAAGGAUCAUAGAGUCCAACCCCUGGAUCCACAAAGCACCACUCAAAUUCCAAACCCUACAUCUGAGAGCGUUGUUCAAAUGCUCUUUCACCUCCAGCAACCCGAAGCCAUGCCCACCGCCCUCUGGUGAAGAACCUUUUUCUAACAUCCUGCCUGUCCCUGCCCUGACACAGCUCCAUGCUGUUCCCUCAGGUCCUGUCACUGGUUGGGCACUGAGACAGGCUCCUGAGGGCAGUGUCAUGUCAGUGAGCUGCUGGAGUACCUGAAAAUAUUAUAUAUAUGUAUUUCUUUACUGUGACAGUGGUGAGGUGCUGGAACAGGCUGCCCAGAGAGGCUGUGGAUGCCCCAUCCCUGGAGAUGUUCAAGACCAUGUUGGAUGGGGCCCUGGGCAGCCUGCUCUAGUAUUAAACGGAGACACUGGUGGCCGUGUCUGUGGCAGGGGGCUUGGAGAUUCAUUAUCCUUGAGGUCCCUUCCAACCCGGGCCAUUCUGUGAUUCCAUAAUAUAUAAAUGACAAAAAAUAGCAUAAUAUGUAAUGAUGUAUAAAUGAAAGAUUUGAUGAGCCAAAAUUUGCAUAACUUCCAGGCAAACUGCACUGUGAAGUAGUUUGGCUAUCUCACAGUGACUGUAUUUUUCAAAGGUUUUUGUCAAUACAUAAUUUUAGUUAUUGUAAAACAUUGUGCCUCUUAGGUUAUUUGACCAAUAUAAUGAGCUUACUUUAUGUUGAAAUAAAGUACGUACAACUUUAAUGCUAUUCGUUUUCUGUUUUUCCAGUUUAGGAAAGAGCUGUAUUAUUCUUUGCUCAUGCUAAUGAAAGCACAGCAUUUCAAAUUAUUUCCGGCAUAUCAAAUUAGUUAAGAGCUAAUUAAAACCUAAUUGCUAUAUCUGACUUGCUGGAAAACACAAUUACACUUUCAGACGUUAUCAAAAGUAGAGACAAGGAAAUUAAUUGUAACCGAGUUGACUAAUUUCAUGAUGGCAAUGAUACUUAGGCCAGUAUUCAGUUAAUUUCAGGUUGUUUUCACACUAUUAAGCCUCAAUCACUUUUUUUUUUUCACAGAACAAAUUUUUAACCCAACAACAAUCAGCACAGAUCUUCCCUUUCCAUGUGUGAUCUUCCUUUCUCUUCAGGUUUUCACAAGCCUCAUCUUUGGUUCCUGAAAUCAGAGAGCCACAUCUGUACUGUGCUCCAGGCUCAAUGACCAGCUCUGAUCCUCCUCAGCAUCUUAUUUCUGCACAAGCCCUGCUUUGGGGCCACAAUAUGAAGUGAUCCUUACUGCCGAUGAUGAGGCAGUCACAUGCAAAAUCCCAGUGAAAUUAACAGCUCAUUUUAGUCUCCAAUAACUUAAGGUGAAACACUUAAAAAAACUCUAGUAAGUGUAGUAAGUAAAAUUAAUUUUAUUCUUACAUCCAGAGAGCCCUAUCAAUGCCUUCAUUGCUGCCUAAUGGCAAUUACAAAAAGCAUAUGGUAUCCUUACAUGUAGGGCGUAUAUAAAAAAAGGUAUACAAGUCCCUGAUUCUUCUCAUUUUCACUUUUAAAUUGUGAGCAGAUCUUUUUAUCCUCUCUAGAAGCAAACUGAGUGCCACUCCUUUCACAUUUUCUUCAUUUUCUGCAUCUCCUUGUACAUGUGAGUGAUGUGGCACCUUCACUGCCUGGGAUGGCUCCCCUCACAGCAUGGGAGCUCUGUCCUAUCAACAGCUGUGUGAGAGGAGGCUGCUACAGUCAGAAUUGCAUGGCAUCUGGAGCUUGCUUGGAGCUGUGGAGAUGGCAAAAGUUCCUGGAAAGCGUGUCCAGCUGGAGAAAGUUAUUUAAGGUUGCACCAAUACUUUCCUAACUGGUGUCCAUAUGGAGAAUUGGGUGGUGUCCUCAUGGAACAGGCUGUUCUUGUUUCCAGCUAAGUCAUAUUAAAGUCAGCUAAAAAUACACUAGCUUCCCGGUAUUAGUUCUUUCCAUGUGAUGUGGGGUAAAAGAGGAUUCAGAGGAGGAACAGAACUGAUUUUUGAGACUGCAGCUGGGGUAAGGAUGUGGCUCUUGGCUUUCAGAAAUGAAGGAAGGUGAGGUCUGUGAAGUCCUGAAUAGGAGGGAAUUUUGUAUUUCAGGUCCCAGAUGGAAGAAUCUGCACAAAUUCUGUUUUUAUUCAAAUAUGUUCUGGGGAAAAAAAAAUACUGGGGUUUAUUAGCAUGAAAUCAGAAGUGCACGUGUAGUUCACCUGCUGAAAGAAAGGCCUUGUUCAGCACCAGGCAUCUGCUGCUGUAGUUGAACUGUGGUCCAGCAGAGAUGGUUCCCCUGCUCCAUCUCAGAUUUGAGCUCUGCUCUACUGUUCUGCCAUCAUCUCACUGCACCUCGAUCCUGGCUUGUCAGGCUCAUGCCCAGAAGACAAGUUGUGGGUAUUUCUGAUAGCUGCUUUGGGUGUUUGCUUGUAAUUGAGUCUUAAUUAAUGAGGCUAUUCACAUUGAAAUGUCAAUUAGAAACAGCAUGAGCAUUGCUGGAUCACUUGGAGUUGUAUUCAAAUGAAACACAGCUGUACAAAAAGUACUUUUUGAAUUUCAUUUCAGUAAAAUUUGUAGGCAUUAUAAUUAGCCUCUUGAAGUCAGCCUUUCUGAAGUCUUCUGUCAGUGUAAUUUUGGAGCUCCCUGAUUAUGCAAGGGGCUACAGUUUCUUAUCUGACAGAAAAAACAGAAGAAGCCUCUCUGUCUCUUGUUACAAAGGCGUCCUCAGGCUGAUGUGGCUGGGAAACUGAACCCUCGUGAUCCUUUGCUGGCCAGGAGAGCAAACCUGCUCAGAAGAGCAAACCACAACCUGUUCAUGUUUGCACCAGAUCCUUUUGGUGAAGAAUGCUCGUGUAAUUCUACCACUACUGGCAUUCUUCUGGCUUAGAAAAUCUUUUGCUAUUCAAAAUUGAAGGGUUGUAUGCAAACAGGUUGCCUUCCUUAAGAGCACGUGACUGAAGUGUCCCUAAUUGGAGUGUCUGUCUGUGUAACACAGUCUUUCCAGGCUGUCAGGCCUGCCUGUAUGCUCUGUUCAUGUGUCCGCCUGUAUGAAUUGUUCCUCUUCACUCCUAAUCUUCCCAAGUGGCUUAUACUCACUUAACUCCAGUCUCUUGUCUAGUCUCUUUCCCCUUUAUUCUUUAAUUUGUUAGCCUCAUUAGAAAGCAUUAUAUUGCAUCUGUACUGCAUUAUACUCUUCUGGUAUAAAAAACAUGGCUAAAUCCACAUUUUUUGGUUACAGUAAUCUAAUUAUGCAUCAAACUCGCACUGACUCCUUAGGAUAAGUUUUAAUCAAAAUUUUUAAAAUAUCCUUAGAACUUGUCAGUGGUUUCUGGUUCUUUUUUUUGCAGCUGCAGAACCUGUGGCCCCUCACACUUGUAAAGACAUAGCUUUGGUGAUCUUCUUACCAACAAAAGAGAUCUUAGGGAGUAAUGUACUGAUGGUGACUGCAUAUGGAUUUUGAGUGAACUGCUUUCUAGCAAUGCUUCAACAAAGUUACUUCAUUUACACAUUUCUUUAUCCCAUGUGGCAUCAAAACACUUUGGCGAAAUAAUGAUUUUCCCUUGGAAGAUAUGAAGAUGCAUUCAUGACCCGUUGUCAUUCUGAAGUGCAUCUAAUAUUUUGGGGCUAAUUGCCCUCAGAGGACCUUGAAAGAAUGGAAUUAAGGUGCCUAGUUGGUAUUCUGUAGUUAAACAUGGCUUCAGUUUGGCUCAUCAUCAUUAGUAAAUCACCCAGACUGCACAUCCCACACUUCAGUGACUUCCUGAUACAAUAAAAAAAUGGCAUGUUUGAUUUGUAGUUACACAGUUCUGGCAAUUAGGUAGCUCUAAGCUUCAGAGCCUUUUGAAAUGUGGCUACAACUAAGCCAAGGCUCCUGGGCACUGAGGCAUCACUGCAAAGCUGCUAGCACAGCCUCUAGCUCACUUUUGGCCUUCUUGGAUGUUCCCAGAUGUAUCUGGAUGCAGUUUUGGAACUGCAUGAAGCAGGGAUAUUCACAGUAGGUGGCUGGGAUGUGGACACCCUAUUUUCAAAGAGAAGACAAUUUAAUAACAUGUUUGCUGGUUAUUGUGCACCUUAGCACCAGGGUACUGUUUUGGACGUGUUUAAUUUGCAGGUGUAAACAUCAUCUUGGUGUUUUGAAUGUGUUCACUCUGCUUUGUACCCAUUCAGAACUAUUGUUAAUAAUUUUCUAUUUAAGUAGGCUGUAUGUUUGAAGAGAACAACUUUAGUUAUUGUUGUAUGUGCAUAUAUGUUGUGAAUUAACCCAGUAGGUGGCUUAGCACUACACAGUCUAACAAAUUAUGCUUAAGUAAUUGCUUACCACCCCUGACCAAUGCUCAACUUGCCCCUCAGUGAGCGGAAGAGAUCAAGAUGAAUUCCCACUCCCUCCUAAACUCCUGAUGAUGUCAUAUGGUAUGGAAUAUCCCUUUGGCCAGUUUAAGUCAGCUGUCCUAAUUCUGUUCCCUCCCAGCUCCUUGGGCCCUUCACUGAGAAUGGCCUUGGCUCUGUACAACACUGCUUAGCAGCAACUAUAAACAUCUGUGUAUUACCAAUACUGUUUUUCUCCUAGAACCAAAACAUAGCAUCAUACUGAACACUCUGAAGAAAACAAUUCCAUCCCAGCUGAAACUAAGACAGUAUCUAAAUCUAUAUUUUCAAGUACAUCUUGCAAAUAUUAAUCCAAACUGAAAGACUUAGCAACACGCCAUGAAAUACCACAUUCUACAACUCUAAAUCAAGGACUACACUGUCAAGACUUUUAUUGUGACCUAUGGAAGUCAGAAUCCUUUCCAGGAAGGACCUGGAAUCCUGCACAGAAAAUGCAUUGCCCUUAUUGGAAAUGCAUUUAACCACUAAGGCAAAAAUAGCAAGAUGGACCUACUUCUCUAUCUAUCGAUAUCUGCCUUCAGGGACCAUGAUGAGGCAGAGAGUAAAAGGUAGAGAGACCACACAAGAGGUCUAUCUCCCACUCCAGCUUCUUUCUUCUCUUUGUACGUAUUCUCAAUAGGAAUGAUCUCUGCAUGCCAGAGACCUGGAAAAUGAUGCUUUUUCACUGCAUCAGAAAUGCAUCUCUGGAAGCGUUUGUAUUAAAUGAGCUCCCACGCAGGUGCUCUGGAGGGCCUGACCCUGCGCUGGCAGAUCAGGGCUCUGGGGGCAAUCUGAGCAGCUGCCGGAGGUAGGGCGGGAUGUUUGUGAGACAAAUGCUGAUUUCAACCAGCAGCUGCUGGUGCAGCUGGACUGUUUCCUGUAGGAAGUGGCAUGUACUGGUAGUGUCAAAAUGAAAUACUCUCUGAGUUUCCAGUUUGUGGGAAAUUAAAUCAAGAAAAAAAAAAAAAAGAAAUGGUUCUGGUUCACGCUGAAACCAAAUAACCCUCCCUGCUUCCCCCUCAACCUUUUUCACAAGUCAGAAGCCCUGCUGUGCAGCCAGCUUCACUCCACAAACAGAUUGGAGUCUUCUGGGAGAAUGCGUGUUACUCAUUCUUGAAUGGAUAUCUGAUUUUGCAGGCCAGUGCAAGGUUGAAAACAGAAAUUGGAUUUUAGACAACUUAUCCACUGUACUGAUGACCUUCUAAAUCAGCUGGUAUUUCUGCAUUAGAAUCUUUCAUCUUCACAUAUGAUAUUAAAAUUCAGCUAAGAAACUAAUGCAGAAAUGAUCAGAAUUCAUCCUGAAUUCCUCUUCAGAAAACCAAAUGAACAUUUGAAUUAGAAAGCUUGAUGUCUAUUCUUUGAAUGUUUAUAAUACGUAAACGUAUUUCACCCUCUAAGUGUGUUCUAAAUGUCAGUUUUAAGAAUAAUCUCUAAAUCACAGGAAACCAUAUGAUUUAAAAAUCACAUGGUGAAACCUUUUAAAACCACAUCUGUGAAACCAU
rnacentral:lncRNA from 1 species